rnacentral:misc_RNA from 1 species
CAGCCCUCCAUCCACCAUCCAUGCAACUGGACACUUACAGGAACCACCACACCACCACCACCAUCUGAUGAUACCGUGACUACCACUUUCAUCACCCGCGCGUGAUCUAACUCCCAACUCCUCAUCGCCCUCCUCUCCGCUCCUCUCUAUAAAAAGCAUUUAAAAUUUUGUUCUUCAAUUUAUUUUUUUUCUGGUCCCUGGAAACAGAAAGGGCAAAACCAAAACCAACCCUUGCACACAGUAACAACUGUGACCUUCCCUUCUUCUGCGCAUGUUCUCGGAGCUCCGGCUCCCUUAACGGAGCCCCAGCUCAUUGCCCAUCGAACAUCUCCAUAUUCCCGAUUAAAAGUGCUAACGAUCUCUCCAUUUCCUCUUUUUACUUUCUCAGAUCUUCAAUUUCAUUUUCCGUUUUUGUUUUAAGCAAUGUCAAAGGCGUGGGGCUCCAACGUCGACUGGGCCGCCGAUGUCGAGCGUGAGGAGCAGGAAGCGGCCGCCGAAGCCGCGGCUGCAGCAGCUUAUGGCGAAUCCGCUGAGUCUCAGAACUUCCCAAGCCUGAAAGAGGCUAACACUGCUAAGCCUAAGAAGAAGAAGAUGUCUCUCAACGAGUUCUACGCCUCCUCCAGUGGCUCAGGUGGCGGUCGCGCGGUAGAAUCGAAAGGCUUAACUCCUGAUGAGAUGCUUCGGCUCCCUACUGGUCCUAAGCAGCGUUCCGCUGAGGAAAUGCAGUAUGGCCGUCUCGGUGGCGGGUUUUCCAAUUAUGGGCGGACUGGUCAGCCUCCGGGCCGUAUGCGUGACCGCGAUGACACGGAUGGGGCUUGGGGAGGUGGUAGAAGGCAGUAUGGCGGAUUUGACGAGGAGCGAAGGGGUCCACCUCCUAGGGUUUCCGACUAUGAUCAGCCCUCGCGAGCUGAUGAGAUUGAUAAUUGGGCAAUGAUGAAGAAAUCCCUCCCUUCAUUUGAUUCUGGCCGCCAAAAUCGUUACGGUUCGCUCGGUGGUGGUGGUGGUGGUGGUAUGGGAGGUGGUUCUAGGGCCGAUGAGGUUGAUAAUUGGGGCAGUGCUAAGAAACCGCUUCCUACUAGAUCUACAUUUGGUUCAGGGUUUCGUGAUUCCGGGCCUGAGUCUGAUCGGUGGAGAAGAGGAGGGGUUCGUGAACCUGAGCGGGAGAGGCCUAGAUUGAUUUUAGAACCGCCGAAGGCUGAUGUAGCUGCUAAUGAGACGCCUAAAACAAGUAGGCCAAAUCCGUUUGGGGCAGCGAGGCCGAGAGAACAGGUGUUGGCAGAGAAAGGUUUGGACUGGAAAAAGAUUGAGGUGGAGAUAGAAGCUAAGAAGACGAGCUCACACUCGAGCAGGCCCGCCAGUGCACACUCGAGCAGGCCUUCUAGUGCGCAUUCAGCCAGGUCAGAGGGGACGGUGCUUCAGCAGGAAUUAGAGAUUGUGGUUUCCAAGCCCAGACCAAAGGUGAAUCCCUUUGGAGAGGCAAAGCCUAGAGAAGUGUUGUUGGAAGAAAGAGGUGAGGAUUGGCGGAAGAUUGAUCUUGAAUUGGAGCAUCGCAGGAUUUACAGGUCUGUAUUUUGUGAAGGUUUUCAAUUGGCGUUGUGAUGCAUGUUUGUGGCAAACUUUUUAAAAAUCAAUGUUGAUGUCUUUCUUGCAUUGAGUACAACACAUUGACGGUUUGGUAAUCUUAAAUGCGUAGCAUACUUAUCAAAUUAUCAUCGAAGUGGGUGGUUUGAUUAUCUUUUGAAUAUAUUUGGGGUUUAUAGAACAAAUAGCCAUCAGUGAUACUAUAACAGUAGUUUGAGGUCCAUUCCAAUGAUUUAGGAUUAUUAAUCAGAUACUAGCGAUAAAAUGCUUUGAUCUAUAUAGCUGUAAUUAUAAUUGGUGGAUUUUUUUCUCUUUUAGCUCCACCUUUGACAACCUUAUUCAGCAUACUAGUGUAUUAAUUACUCAAUGUUGAUUAUUAUCUCUUCAUGUAGAGCAUCUCUUUAAGUGGCAAAUCUAUGAAUAUGGUGUGAAAGUUAUCUUGUAGAAGUUAGCUAGGAUUAAUUGUUCAUUAGUUUUUUGUUGAAAUAGGUUGUUCAUUAGUUUUUUGUUGAAAUAGGCAAUGAAGAGGAUGCAUCUGCACAAAUUUGGUAUCUAUUGAACUCUUCACUUGCAUGGUAAUGAAAAGAAUACAUCCUAUAAUUUUAUAUUUUGUGCUUAAAUUUUCCAUGCAGUUAUUGUAAAACAAUUGUUGAGGAUAAGUCUCUAACCAAUAUUUUGUGUUUUAUGCAUUAGCAUCCUGAUUUUUUUUUUUUUUAAUUCUUAUAUGUGCAUAGUUAUUAAAGGCACACUAAGGCGCCAAGGGAUCUUGAAGCCUAGGCACAAGGCGUAGGUGCACACUUGAGUGAGGCAAGCACAAAAAAUAAAAUAAAAUAAAAAGCAUAAAAUGAACAUGAUGCUCUCUAAAUCAAUUUAAAUGAAUGCCUUAGAUGAAAAAGCUGACACACGUGCUAAUGGAAAGAAAUCAAUGACAAAGGGCCAUAUCAAAGGUACCCUUGUAAGCCUUCAUAAAAUUGAAGUUAAAGCUAGGAAUUUGUUUCCUUUGCUUAAUUGAUCUAUUAUGUACCAAGUUAUUUGAAUAGACAAAGUUUACAUCAUAAAAAAAUGCAAAGUUAACACAAGCAUAUUAAAGAUGGGUGCCUGGAAACCACAUUCUCUCAGAUUAAUAUGAACAGCAAGCCUUGCUCAGAAAAAAAUCCUCUGCAGUGGAUUUCAGAUAUUUCAUGGGCCAAAGAUGAUGAUAUGGGAAAACAAUUACUUCAUCAGUAAAAGAUUUUGCAUAAAAUGAAUAUGAUACUUUCUAAAUUGAUUUCUUAUAAUGAAUCAAAAGUCUGUUCAGAUUCACAAACAAAAUUACCCAGACCAGGCCAUCAGAAAAUAUAUGCCAGCAUCAGUUUUGCCUAAAUUUUAUCACCAAUAAACAUUUACUUUGCACGAGGGGGUUAGAACAAGCUUAAGAAGUUAAAGAUGGUAAACGAAUCUGAUCUAAGGAAAUACUUGACAUAGGAAUGGAGAAGCAUUUACAGCUCCAACCAUUGCCUAACUGCUAUAUUGCAACCCUAUAGCAGUUACUUAUGUAUUUCUUGUGUUCAAAGCUUCCUUCAUCAUAUCACCUAUCAUAUCCAAUUACAAAAUCCUUCAAAUGUCUCAACCUGGAAUGCCUGGAUCAAUUCAGGGUAAUCCCCCUUGAAGCAAGUAAAAUACUUGUCCUCAAACUGUUUCUUCGUCAUAUUCAAUGCCCAAGCAACACUCACAUUCUUCUUAAUUAAUCCCUUAGAGAUCAGCACUUUCAGAACAGAGCAUCUUGGUAUGGCAUUUCUCUCCAAACUGAUCAUAAAUAGAUGUGGGGAUCUUACAAGAUCUGAAAGCUGCAAACAA